rnacentral:misc_RNA from 1 species
UUACUUAGGCGGAGUUAGGGGUUUACUUUACCAUUGGCCAUAAAUUAAAUAGGCCAUUUAUCUGUGGGAAUUUGUUAGUUAGUUAACUUUAUAGUUGUUAUAACUGAUUAGAUUCCCUUUAUUUCUUUUUGUUCUUUUCUAUUCCUUUCAUUUACACAAAUCAAGAAUUACAAGUUAGGACUGUAAUCCCCAUGUCCUAAAGGCAAUACUUGUGCAAGAUAGAAAGUUAUAUACGAUACAAAGAAUGUACAAAAUAUAAAAUGUUGAGAAUAACUCCCAGUACAAAAAUAAAAAGCUUUAUGCUAUCAAUAAUAACAGACAGAGGCAGUUGCUGUCUCUCAAAAGUCCCAUGAUUCUUUUCCAUCCAUGCUACGUACUAGCUAGAGGGUUCAAGGUGAAAUUUGCAUCUCUCUACAAGCAAAACCCCUUCUAAGCCUGCAACUCUUCCUCCAUUAUCCUUGCUACUAGAUAAACUUCUGUUAAUGAUUAACAUUCUCCCAUAACUUUCUUAUCUGGUUGCAAUGCAAGAUCAAAUGUUGGACUGAUUCAGAUGUGCAUUUACAAUGAAAUUCAUCUACAGAGCCAAAAUUUCCCUUUUCUAAAGUCAUAAAUAGUAAAAAUUCUCUACCAAGUUAUUUCUCUAUAAUUUUUGUAGUUCACUUGUCUUUCAAAUGGGCCUACCAUGGAAAAAUCCCAGAUCCUCUCUCAAGGCUUCCCUAACUCUGAUAAUAGGGUUUCAUCUCACCUUUUAGCCCCCUAUCUAAGCCAAAUCCUUGAUGUAGGACAGCUUGCAAAGUUGGUUGUGUAGGCUAGCUUUCUUUCAUUAAUUGAAAGACUAGAAUGAGUAAAAAUUUAGGUGAACAAUCAUGGUUUAUAAAAGAAUGAAAAGUGAAAUUAAACAAGAAAGACAAUAUUUUGGGGUUGUUUGCAAUGCAAGUUAGGCACUGUGAACUGUAAAAGUAAUUUGUCAGAUUUAGUUUCCUUGAUGGCAUUGUUGUUUUUUUUUUUAAUAUAUAUUUGAGGCUUAUGCAUACAAACAAAUUUUAAUUAUAGAGAGUUUGUUAGACCUCUGGCUUUGCUCCUAUACUAUAAAAUACAAUAUCAUUGUGAAUAUGUAUCUGAAAAAUACACGACACAUCCCGUCAAUGUGCAGAGUUAAAUGCUGCAUGAUAGUUUCUAAACAAGAGUUACAGGGGCCUUUUUUUGUGUAUUUCACUUGCAGAUGCAACAAUGUUCUGUAUCUUCGUGGUGUUCCAGAGGAUGAAGACAUAGAGGAUGCUGACCAUGACUGAGGAAUGGACUUACAGUCGUUGAAUUAUAUAACUGUAAUCCCAUGUGAAAUCUUUACUUGGUUAAAAUGUUAUGUUCAACGCAUGGACGCGAGUGAUGGCUUGAUUUUUUAGUCAUGUCGUAAUAUUACUAGUUAAUUUUUGUAUCUCAUUUCAAGACCGUCAAGGCUAUUUUCAAUCAACUUUAAAAUAGAUGGAAUAUCUAUUAGCACUUUCAGAUCUCUCUCAUUGUUUUUGGCAUGAAAAUGUAUGAGAAGUAUACGUGGGAUGUUUAUUUCCUUGGUUAUUUAAAUGGCUUAAUAGCCAUAUGUACCAUGAGAAAAAUUUAUCUGAAUUUGGAGUGGUGGCUUAGGUGUAUUGUCUAAGCUACAAGGACAAGUGGUCAGAUGAAUAAGGCGCAAACCGUGAGCAACAAGAAUGUACAGUUUUUAAGAAUGAGUUAUACCUAAGUGGUCUAUUCUCAUGCGGUUGCUAGAUAGCCUAUUCUUACAUGGUGUAAUUUUAGGACUUAUGUCAUACAAUGCAAUUUUGACGACUCAUGGUGCUCAAUGAUUCGUAUCAAUUGGUAUGUAAAUCUUAUGUAUUCAUAUCAAUUAGUAUGUAAAUCUUAUGUACUUAUAUAUUAUGUAUUUUGUAUUUUGAAUGUGCAAAUUUCCCAAUUCAAUUCGACAAAACCUUUUCACACAGCAUCGGUGUAAGGAUUCUAUUAUAUAUUUGGGCGAGCUUGGGAAUUACAAUACUUUUUGAAGCUUGGCAUUGUAAUUUUAUUCUGAAAAGUGAUCUGAGUUUUAUCCAAAAUUGAAAAAUCGUUAAGUUACGACCAUAUUGCAACUCCACGCAUGACAUGCGCUGUAAGCGCCAGGAACUUUGAAGCUAGCAGAUUUUACCAUUUCCAAAAAUGAAGGGAGAAAGCAUAGGCGUCUCCUGUUACUAAGGGAAAAAGCUGCAGGCACUGAAAAAAUUAUCCAGAUGGGUAUCCCAUUUUAUUACCGACCUUGCACUGUUCAUUCAUUGCCAGGAGUUGGGCCUCCUUCUUGUCAAGGAGAGCAGUCAACCUCACAUUCUCUUCCAUAAGUUUCUGAACUUCAGCCUCUUUCUGCAUUUUUUCACCUUCCAAUUGAGUUGUCUUUGCAACUAGCCUGCUCCACAACAAUAUUAGAUUUUAAGGUAAUCCAGCUAGUAAAGCAAUUGCUAGAAGAGAAAUGGCUACAAAAAUAGCAUUGACCAGAGAAAGAGAGAAGGGAAAUUAAAUAGCCCAUCCACUCUUCCAGUGAAUCAGAUACAACUUAUAUAUAAGUGAAGACCUUACAUUUACAGAUUGGGAACCUUUGGGCUACAAAGCAAGAGAAAAACACACAGACAUCACCAAGUACACAUGUUAAAGCCUAUUUUAGAUGCCGUAAGGAAGCCACCAAAUUUGCUCUAGGUUGACAGUAAUCAAUAGUCAGGAUGAGUUUUGGAUUGGCCCUCAACAACAUUUUUGGUUAAUCCAUGUACAGAGGGCAAUACCAUAAUUACUAAUGGCUAAUGAAAAUGUAUGACUUAAGAAAACACAUUAUACAAAAUUAAUAUCAGUUAGCUGCGCCAUCAUGAGGCAGGAAAACAUGUUACACCAGAAAAGAUCAAAGGCAAACAAGGACAAAUCCUUGGGGAAAAGAGAACUAAGUACUUCUAAAAUCCCUAGGAAUACGAUCAGCAUCACAUGUAUUACAUCCAAUCCUGAUAGAAAAUGUAAAAUUAUAAAUGUGAGAAAUUUUCAUUUUGUUCAUGCCUAUGAGCAGUUCACCAAGAAUUUUUUUGAAGAUUUUGCCCCAUUUGGGAGUUGGCAGGAAGGUUGGACUCUGGAGAAAACUUAAGUAUGCUACAUUGCUACCUUAUAGCCAUACCCUAAGAAAACUAAUAAAAAGAAUUCUCAAGUGCAUUUAUUACUUGCGAAAUUACUGACCGUUCAAAAAGCCUCUCAAUAGUUUGAAAUUGCUUCUCUGAUGAAAGAAGUGUUUCUCUUACACUAAUGAGACUGCUAACAUAGGAUUUCAAUGAUUCGAAGUCCCUUUUAACACGGCAAAGCUCUUGUUCAUUUUCUGCAGCUCUUUGCCUCUGCCUAGAAGUUUCUUCAACCAAAUCCUCAACCCUCUGGCGCAUCUCAUUCAGAAUACUAUUUGUUCCCAGAGCAAAUCUCUCCAUCUCCUCUAAUUUUGAAGACAUGCUCUCAAUUUGGAUUGCCUUCUUCCUAAUUUCUUCCUGACCUAAUGUUACCUUAUCUUUCUCAAUUGCAGUUUCAGAUUCUGCCAUUAGAACCCUUUUAAUAAGAGCUUCCAUUACAUCUGUUACCAUCUGUACAGACUUGAGUAAUUCACCAAUAUAAGCUUCAUCUUGAUCAUCAUGGCUACCAUGCUGCUCACCAAGUCUAAUCCAUGUUUCUUCAUCUGGACUGUCAAAAGAGGAGAGAUCAACAGAUCUAGACCAACUAGAAAGGGGUGCACCGUUCUUGUCAACAAGCCCCACUCCUUCUAAUUCUUUGAUGCCACAUGAUGUAUGAGCUAAAUCAGGAACAGCCAUGAUUCUUGCUUUUGAUUUUAAGUAGGUCAAUAAUGUUGCAGUGGUCUUCACUCUUCGCCAAAGAACCUCCAACUCCUUCUUUGCAUCUUCCUCAGAUCCCUUUAUACAAGCAUUUACCUCCAUAAGCUUUGCCUGUAAUGCAUCCACUUGUGACUGGCGUCGUUCCAUCUCCAACUUCCACAUUUCUUGAGUUUCAUUUAGCUGAGACUUCAAACUUGACAAAUCAACAUCUUCUCCCGUUGCCAUGCGCUUUCCUUAGUCAUGAAACACAUGUGAGAACUCCAAAUUUAAAUUGCCAUAAACCAAUUCUAAUUCAAGUAUCAAACCAAACACAAGGGACGCAUAAAAUCUGUCAACUUCAGAAAAGCGCAAAGUAUCAUAGAACACAGAGGUUAAAAUUAACAGCUGAAUAAAGGAUAUUAAAGCUCUUAGAAUGUUACAAGAAGCAAGAAGAUUACUCGACAAGCAAUUCUAACAGUGCCUAAGGCAUGAAAAUGGCAAAAUGUUUGCAAAUAAGGAUAAUAUUUCUAGGCAUAGCUUUGAAACAGACUUCAAGGCAACAUCACCCAAAACUAGCUUUAUCCAUAGUAUGCACAAUUCAUCUCAUACAACUACAAAUACAAUUAUUAGUGUUUCACAGCUUCACAAUGCAUUUAUGGUAAACGCUUCUCCAAACUAUUAAAUUGCCACAUUUUAGGGCUGUUUGGUAUCAAUACUGUUUUUGGCUUUUGGUGCCCAAUUAUCAAAAAAAUUGUAUUAUUAAAACAUAUUUGUUGUUGUUACUAGAUGUCUGUAAAGCAAAAGAACAUGGUGCUAAGCACGUGAAACCACAAAAAAUGGUUUUUGCUUGUUUCAUCAACCUGUUUUUCAAGAUGUAAGUUUUCAUUGUUGGACAAAAACACGAAAAGAGAGAGAGAGAGAACAAAAUUGAUACCAAACAGGCCCUAAAUUUUAAAUAUUUUGAAAUAGCUCGGACAAAAGGGUAACAUUCACACAAUCUCAAAACAAAAUUGCCAUCACAUAACUCUCCUAAAGCCAAAAGCCAACAAUGUUCUCUUCCCUUAUAAUAUCUAAAGAUACACAAAAAUGUAUACCAGGAAGUUCCUCCAACUCUUUGAUGCUCCUAGCCCUCCAGAUUUAUGAACACACAAGAAAUACUCCAUUCCAUUAGUGUACAGCACAAAGUAAAUAGACCAGGAUAGAUUUAGGAGGAAAAAUCAGCAAAACACAUAGAAAAUAAAAGGCCAAUUCAAGUACAAAGUUCCAUCCUUUCUCGUCAGGGAGAGAUAUCUUGAUACCACAACUACCCAUUACCCAAUAAUAGAUAGCUUGAUCAGAUAUUUGAAAGCUCAAUGAGACGAUCCAAACUAACAGAGCACCCAAACAUGGAUAAACCCUAAUUAUAGGUGAAAAGUCGCCAAUUCAAGAGCAGAACAGACGGAUUACUCUCAAAUCAUAAUCCCUACAAUUUAAAUCACAAAGACAAUAAUCGACAAAAACAGUACGAUUACAUGCAUCAAACGACAAAAACAAAAAAGGGAAAUUGACGACACAGCAAAGAUUUUUGAAGAGUAAAACUUUAAAUAAAAUAUAUGAAAAAUAGGAUAAAUAUUCGAAAGAGAAACGAAACCUUAGGUUCUGAUUGGAUGGAGUGAAAUUUAGUUUCUGGCUCUGCUUGAUUAAAUAGUAAGCAAACAGGGAUCUUGUAAGACAGAGAAAGGGCAAGGAAGAUGGAGAGUUAACUGGGCAGGCUUGUUCUUGUCUUCCCUUUCUU